AUUGAACGCUGGCGGCAGGCCUAACACAUGCAAGUCGAGCGGAUGAAGGGAGCUUGCUCCUGGAUUCAGCGGCGGACGGGUGAGUAAUGCCUAGGAAUCUGCCUGGUAGUGGGGGAUAACGUCCGGAAACGGGCGCUAAUACCGCAUACGUCCUGAGGGAGAUAGUGGGGGAUCUUCGGACCUCACGCUAUCAGAUGAGCCUAGGUCGGAUUAGCUAGUUGGUGGGGUAAAGGCCUACCAAGGCGACGAUCCGUAACUGGUCUGAGAGGAUGAUCAGUCACACUGGAACUGAGACACGGUCCAGACUCCUACGGGAGGCAGCAGUGGGGAAUAUUGGACAGUGGGCGAAAGCCUGAUCCAGCCAUGCCGCGUGUGUGAAGAAGGUCUUCGGAUUGUAAAGCACUUUAAGUUGGGAGGAAGGGCAGUAAGUUAAUACCUUGCUGUUUUGACGUUACCAACAGAAUAAGCACCGGCUAACUUCGUG
rnacentral:rRNA from 1 species